rnacentral:rRNA from 1 species
AUACGUAGGGAGCGAGCGUUGUCCGGAAUUACUGGGUGUAAAGGGAGCGUAGGCGGGAGUGCAAGUCAGAUGUGAAAUACAUGGGCUCAACCCAUGGGCUGCAUUUGAAACUGCAUUUCUUGAGUGAAGUAGAGGUAAGCGGAAUUCCUGGUGUAGCGGUGAAAUGCGUAGAUAUCAGGAGGAACACCGGGGGUGAAGGCGAGUUACUAGACUGUAACGGACACUGAGGCGCGAAAGUGUGGGGAGCAAACAGGAUUAGAUACCCUGGGAGUCCACACUGUACACGAUGAAUGCUAGGGGUAGGGGGUAUCGACCCCAUCUGUGCCGCAGUCAACACAAUAAGAAUUCCGCCUGGGGAGUACGGCCGCAAGGUUGAAACUCAAAGGAAUUGACGGGG